CAGCAGUAGCCGCGGUAAUACGGAGGGUGCAAGCGUUAAUCGGAAUUACUGGGCGUAAAGCGCACGCAGGCGGUUUGUUAAGUCAGAUGUGAAAUCCCCGAGCUUAACUUGGGAACUGCAUUUGAAACUGGCAAGCUAGAGUCUUGUAGAGGGGGGUAGAAUUCCAGGUGUAGCGGUGAAAUGCGUAGAGAUCUGGAGGAAUACCGGUGGCGAAGGCGGCCCCCUGGACAAAGACUGACGCUCAGGUGCGAAAGCGUGGGGAGCAAACAGGAUUAGAUACCCCUGUAGUCCCUGUCUCUUAUAC
rnacentral:rRNA from 1 species